rnacentral:rRNA from 1 species
AUAUCAAUAAGCGGAGGAAAAGAAACUAACAAGGAUUCCCCUAGUAACGGCGAGUGAAGCGGGAUGAGCUCAAAUUUAAAAUCUGGCUGGUUUACUAGUCCGAAUUGUAGUUUAAAGAAAUGUUUUCGGUGGCAGCCUGGGUAUAAAUCCUUUGGAAUAGGGUAUCAUAGAGGGUGAGAAUCCCGUCUUUGACUCGGUGCGUGCUACUAUGUGAUACAUUUUCAAAGAGUCGAGUUGUUUGGGAAUGCAGCUCAAAAUGGGUGGUAGAUUCCAUCUAAAGCUAAAUAUUGGCGAGAGACCGAUAGCGAACAAGUACCGUGAGGGAAAGAUGAAAAGAACUUUGAAAAGAGAGUUAAACAGUGC